UAAGGAAUAUUGGUCAAUGGACGCAAGUCUGAACCAGCCAUGCCGCGUGGAGGAUGAAGGUCCUCUGGAUUGUAAACUUCUUUUAUUUGGGAAGAAACCCACGAUUUCUAUUGUGGUUGACGGUACCAGAUGAAUAAGCACCGGCUAACUCCGUGCCAGCAGCCGCGGUAAUACGGAGGGUGCAAGCGUUAUCCGGAUUCACUGGGUUUAAAGGGUGCGUAGGCGGGCAGGUAAGUCAGUGGUGAAAUCUCCGGGCUUAACCCGGAAACUGCCGUUGAUACUAUCUGUCUUGAAUGUCGUGGAGGUGAGCGGAAUAUGUCAUGUAGCGGUGAAAUGCUUAGAUAUGACAUAGAACACCCAUUGCGAAGGCAGCUCACUACACGAUGAUUGACGCUGAGGCACGAAAGCGUGGGGAUCAAACAGGAUUAGAUACCCCCGUAGUCC
rnacentral:rRNA from 1 species